GGAGCCCGCAGAGAAGGGAAACAGGUUACUAGACCAGUUUCAGUGCCAACACCCUUGCCCCAGAUCCCCAGGGGCCAUCUUGUUCACCUGUUUCUCCAAAGUCCUGCCCCACAUCUUGACUGGCAGCCUGGAGGGCAGAUGGCGCAGCAUGGCAGGGAGAGGAGAUCAGGACACAAACAUGGGUGCACAAGGAGGAAGGACCGUGUGGAGACACGGGGAAGAGGUGGCUGUCUACAAACCAAGGAGACGGGCUUCAGAAGAAACCAACCCUGCUGACACCUUGAUCUUUGAUUUCCAGCCUCCAGACUGUGAGAAAAUAAACUCUGUUGUUUAAGCCACCCAGCCUGUGGUAUUCUGUAAUGGAAAUCUUAGCAAGCGAAUACGUUGGCAUUAUCACCUAUUUUGCUCCAAAGAAACAACUUUUGGCGGGGCGCAAUGGCUCAUGCCAGUAACCCCAGUGCUUUGGGAGGAUCUCUUGAGGCCAGGAGUUUGAGACCAGCCUGGCCAACAUGGCAAAACCCUGUCUUUACCAAAAAUACAAAAAAAUUAGCCGGGCAUGGUGGCACACGCUUGUAAAAAAUAAUAAUAAUAAUAAAUAAAAACAUUAAAAUGUGUUAUAUUCUGAGACAGAUGAUUUAAUUAGUCAAAGAUACUUCAUUUUCACUGUCUUGUAAUCUCCCAACAAACCUGAAACCCUGUGACAAGUCAGAAUGGCGCUUAUGAUUCCCC
rnacentral:lncRNA from 1 species